rnacentral:rRNA from 1 species
UACAGAGGUCUCAAGCGUUGUUCGGAUUCAUUGGGCGUAAAGGGUGCGUAGGCGGCGCGGUAAGUCGGGUGUGAAAUCUCGGAGCUUAACUUCGAAACUGCAUUCGAUACUGCCGUGCUUGAGGACUGGAGAGGAGACUGGAAUUUACGGUGUAGCGGUGAAAUGCGUAGAUAAUCGAUAAGGAAGACCAGGUGGCGGAAGGCGGGUCUCUGGACAGUUCC